GUUUUCCUUUAAGGUGAACAGCUAUACACUUUGUCCCCUGGACCAUUUAUUUAAAAUAGAAAAUUUACUUUUUUGGCAAAAAAAAAGGCCUGACCUCAUGCUAAUGUAGUCUUGGGCUAUUUUUCAUAUUAGCAUCACUCUAUUUCCUGUUCAUCAAAUGUCCCAUGUUCCUCAUACCCAAACAUGUCCUACUCUCCAUAAACAACUACUUUCUAAACCUACCCAUUUCAUGUUUUUAGAUUACUGCUUUAGAGUGUAUGCUUUGAGCAGGGCCCUCCUCAAUACUGAUUUAUAUUGGUCUCAACUUUGUCAUAUUUUCGUUUCCUCACUGUACAGCACAACUGAAUAUGUAAUGGGCUCUAUGGAAUUUAAGCCUAUUGACAAAAAUGUGAAUAUGUAAAUACAUUCUGUAAACCUUGUACACAAAUUUAAGAACCAGCAUGAAGAAAG